rnacentral:rRNA from 1 species
UACGUAGGGGGCUAGCGUUGUCCGGAAUCAUUGGGCGUAAAGAGCGUGUAGGCGGUCCGGUAAGUCCGCUGUGAAAGUCGGGGGCUCAACCCUCGAAUGCCGGUGGAUACUGUCGGGCUAGAGUGCAGAAGAGGCGAGUGGAAUUCCUGGUGUAGCGGUGAAAUGCGCAGAUAUCAGGAGGAACACCAAUUGCGAAGGCAGCUCGCUGGGACGUAACUGACGCUGAGACGCGAAAGCGUGGGGAGCAAACAGG